CAAGUCGAACGCUUCUUUUCCACCGGAGCUUGCUCCACCGGAAAAAGAGGAGUGGCGAACGGGUGAGUAACACGUGGGUAACCUGCCCAUCAGAAGGGGAUAACACUUGGAAACAGGUGCUAAUACCGUAUAACAAUCGAAACCGCAUGGUUUUGAUUUGAAAGGCGCUUUCGGGUGUCGCUGAUGGAUGGACCCGCGGUGCAUUAGCUAGUUGGUGAGGUAACGGCUCACCAAGGCCACGAUGCAUAGCCGACCUGAGAGGGUGAUCGGCCACAUUGGGACUGAGACACGGCCCAAACUCCUACGGGAGGCAGCAGUAGGGAAUCUUCGGCAAUGGACGAAAGUCUGACCGAGCAACGCCGCGUGAGUGAAGAAGGUUUUCGGAUCGUAAAACUCUGUUGUUAGAGAAGAACAAGGAUGAGAGUAACUGUUCAUCCCUUGACGGUAUCUAACCAGAAAGCCACGGCUAACUACGUGCCAGCAGCCGCGGUAAUACGUAGGUGGCAAGCGUUGUCCGGAUUUAUUGGGCGUAAAGCGAGCGCAGGCGGUUUCUUAAGUCUGAUGUGAAAGCCCCCGGCUCAACCGGGGAGGGUCAUUGGAAACUGGGAGACUUGAGUGCAGAAGAGGAGAGUGGAAUUCCAUGUGUAGCGGUGAAAUGCGUAGAUAUAUGGAGGAACACCAGUGGCGAAGGCGGCUCUCUGGUCUG
rnacentral:rRNA from 1 species